UAUGUAAGGGCGUACGGCGGAUGCCUAGGGUCUCAGAGGCGAAGAAGGACGUGAUAAGCUGCGAUAAGCAACGGGGAACAGCACAUAUGUAUUGAUCCGUUGAUUUCCGAAUGGGGCAACCCUUCUAUCUGAAGGAUAGAAAUCUCUGAUAAAGAGAAGCGAACGUGGGGAACUGAAACAUCUAAGUACCCAUAGGAGAAGAAAACAACAGUGAUUCCGCAAGUAGUGGCGAGCGAACGCGGAAAAGCCCAAACCGUUAAUGUUACGGCAUUAGCGGGGUUAUAGGACUGCAUUUAGAAAGGAUUUUAAACUUGAAUCACUUGGGAAAGUGAGCCGUA
rnacentral:rRNA from 1 species